rnacentral:misc_RNA from 1 species
CCCUUCGAGCUCACGGAAACAUCGAGGAAGCAUACCCUUCUGAGCUGGAACGUGUCCUUAUUGAGGUGCACAACGCCAAAACCAUCGCUUCAGGGGCAGUGAUUCGGGACAAUUCGGGCUGUAGAUCGCCAUGAAGGGAGUCAGCCAACGUGGGCUGCGCGGCAGCAGUCUCGCCCUGUCGCGAUCGAACCGUACCUCCAAGGAGCAGCGUGGCCGUGGACAAAACAGCGUCCCAAGGUGUGCCGCCACGUCGCCAUCUCCACGGACGGCGGCGGCUCUCGUCCCUCCCACGACGCAGCAGCUGCAGCACGCACCGCUUGUCGCGUUUACACAGUGGAAUGAGGCGGCCAUGGAGGCGCUGCGUAACGGCGAGGGUGACUCCAGUCGGCGCAUUCUCUCGGCCCUGCUACCGGUUCUGGAAGCACGCCUGCACGCCAUGCAGUGCAAGCCAUCCGCUCACACUUCUUCCACCGCCAUCGAGUCGUGGCGUCUCGCUCACGCGCUGACGCUCAACAAUUACGGAUGUCAAUUACGCCGUGACGGGCUCACGGGCGAGGCACUUCGGCAGUUUCUGCGCGCAAAGCAGGUCGAGACGCUUGUGUUCGGAAAGCCAUCCUGCUCCACGAUGCUGAACCUCUCCGCCGUUCUCCUGAGCAGCGGAGCGGCGGAGGAGGCGCUGGCCAUUUCAAAGGAGUGUGUGAUGGCGGCGCAAGACGGGGAGCCGAUUCUUUUCAUCACCGCCCUGCAUAACCUUGCUGUCGCGCUGGGGCAGCAGACAAGCGAGCGCGAGCGCAAAGCAGCGCUGCCAACGAUGCUGCAGGCGCUGCGUGAGGCGCAAAGCGCACUCGGCGAGCAACACGCAACCACACUCAUGCUCAAGGAAAAGUGCGGCCUGACGUCGGGCUGGAUCUCGCAAGACCGCGGGCCGGAGGCCGGGCCUGAAGUCGCCGCUCCCGUGCCUGCUGUUGAAUCGCCUUCGGUGCACGGCACGUUGCAUGGGAACUCUGCAGCGCAGUCGCCCUCCCCGGCGCCACUGACGGCGCAAGAGAUUGCUAGAGCUGCUCUGCACACCCUGGACUUUGGAGAGCCCGUUCAUGCCCAUCCGGCUGCACACGCCGUCGCAGCUCUCGACGCGGCGGAACCGGCGAACGGUGAUUCGAAUGGGUGGGUACAAGAUGCGUACCCUGCUUCCUCGUUACGGCCCUCGCCGAACGCAGACGCGCGCAGCCAGAGCUAUGCGGGGAGAGCGACGGAAGAUAAUCAGGACUCGCUCCUCUCACUACCGCGACAAUCAACGCACUUGGACUCUGUGACGGACGUGGAUGCUGUUCGCGCCACGCAUCUAAGGAUGCCGCUGGUAGAGAGUGCCUUGCCUAAACCGCUACAAGUUUCUAGUCGGCAGAGCAGCGCCGCGGCCUCGGUCGAUCAGCAGUGCCUCAACUCCGUCAAUCUCUCCGGCAUGCAGCGUAGCGUCGCUAUUGCGCCCCUAGAGACGGUGCUGCAGGAGCCUUUCCAGACUGCGUCGCUGGUGAUGAGCCGCAGCGUCCCCAAUCUUGUGGGACCUGCUGGGCCUAUACGAGACUUGUACAAGAUGGACAGCGCGGACGGCAAAAGGGGCCCCGUCUUUUUGCGCUUCAGUUUGCCGCCGCGCCUGCCAGCCGCAAGCACGGUGUCUCUGCCGCUGCGCAAAGUCGCUCCUCAAGGAGCUGCGGCAGGCCCAUCGGGCGCGUCCGCGGAGGGCCGCCGCAGGAAGCCGUCGCCCGCGACGAUGCCGCCGAGCGUCAGUAAAUGGAGCGGUGACAGCAACCUAGAGAGCAGUACGGCGGCCACGCUUAUCACCGAAAUGCCCACAGCUGGGGACGUAAAGACGGUCGAUAAAGGCGAGAGACCAUUCUCCAAGACUGGCGGCCGCGCAACACUACCAUCUGCGCCACAGCGAAGCCUUUUCGGGUGCAGUGGUUCCUUGUACGCGAGACGGACUGUGCGCCGCGAGGUUGAGAAGCAAGAGGAAAGGGCCUACCGCGUGCAGAGGGAGGCUGAGAAGAAGGCCGCGGAGGCCGAAACCGCCUUUCAGCUGGCCCUCCAGAAGAUUCAGUGUCGUACUCAGAACACCGCAGCCGUCACCAUACAGCAUGCGUGGAGGCAGUGGUGGAGCGCCGUAGGUCGAACACGCCGAGAUGUGCAGCUGCAGAGACUCGAGGAACUCCAACGCCGUCGCCGUGAGCGGCUGGCAUUGGGCUUCGUGGCUGGGAAGAUGCCGGGCAGGUCUGGGAAAGUCACCAUCCCGCCGCCACCGUCCCAGCAACACGGUCACAUCGGUGGCUACGUCGUACCUGCCAUAGUACUGCGGUGCUGCAGAAAGUGGCUGGCCAACACCGUUUGCGUCCGACAUGUGGCCAAGAGCCACCGCAGCCUAGUGGACGGUCGCCUGCAUGAGGCAGAUGUGCGUCGCGGCGUCUGCCGAAUCCAAGCGUUGUGGCGUGGCUCCAUUGUUCGCCACCGGCGCGCUGAACACCAGCAGCAACCUCAGUUGGACGGUGAGAAUGCCUGCGUGAUUGCCGUAUCUGCCGCGUAUCGGCGGCGCGCGGAAGCCGAGCUCCUCGAGUACUCCGCGCUGGUUGUGCAACAGGCGUACAGGAGCUACCGUGCGCGCCAGCUGCGGCGUCGGCUCUACGCUGCAAAGCACAACGGACCGGCAGCGGUGAUCCAGCGCUGGCUGCGAUGCACAUUGGCUGAUCAGCGCAACCGCGGUGUUGACUCGCGCACCAUACGCGUGCGCGACGCGGCGGCGAGGACGAUACAGCGGGUGUGGCGCGGUUACGUUGGUCGCGUCGCGUUCCGUAUGCGCGAGCUGCGACUUCGAAUGGGCCAUGCCGGCGUCUACCCGUUUGCCCUUGAAGCUGGUAUUGGUACUGCACGGCGCCUUGCCGCGAUCGACGACCGCGAGGGCAGGGCGGCAAAGCACAUCUCGGCAAAGACCUCCACGCCCCCAUCACCCGCCGCAGUGAAGAGAGCAGGUGCGCGUCCUUGUUCGGGUAAACCGGAUUCCUUUGCUGCCGGCAAGGCGGCGCUCGACUUAAACUGCACUGCGGCACUCGUCGACGCGUAUGCAGCUGACUGCUUGCAGCGAAGCGGCGAGGUGUAUCGGCUGCGUGACGCGGAGCGAGACCGAUACCACAUUGGCCUUUACGUGGACGUAAGAGCCACCAGGGAGCGGCAGGCGUGGCAGGAGUCGUUGCGAUUACGGUCUACCGAAGUGCUGCGCCGACGUGCCGCGAUGGACACUCGGAUUCACGAAGAGCAGCGCGCCUUCACGGAGCACCGUGCCGCACUCGCCAUUCAGCGCGCCUAUAGGGCCUGGCGAAGGAUGCAGGAGGACAAGGGUAGGAACACCGAUUUCCUCUAUUACUCACGUGCUCUCUACCAACAGCAGGAGCUUGGUUCCCUGGCGGCGCGGAAGCAGCGGCAGCGGGACACCGCGCGGGCGAUUGCACUUUACGGUGAUUCGGCCAUGGCGAUGCGAGCAGAACGCGUGAAGGCGGCCGAGGAAUUAGCUUUGGUGGCAGACUGCAACGGCCCUGCUAGCAGCAGCAGCGGGCCGAAUGGGGUCAUCGCGGCACCGCGCAAAGGGGCGAUGAAAAUAUCGUCGUACGCUGAGCGUAUGGCACGGAAGCAGCAGCGUCAGGAGCAAGAGGCGAUGCAGCGCAGGGACGAGGUAUUGGUCGCCCUCACCUAUCCACAUGACAUGGCGCACGCGCGAGAAGGACCUGAUGAGUGCGCGGCACGCACUGGCACCACGUACGAGCAUCCUUACUAUAUCCCCUACGUGAACGAAGAGCAUUGCCGCACUCUCGGGAUUGAUUAGCGCAGGAAAACAUGAAGCGUCCACAGGUGUCUUUUCUCUUGACCCUAAAAAAUACUCACAUGAAAUGAGCCACAGCUGUGCCUUUCUCCGCCCGCACUCUGUUCUGAAACCACCGUUUUUGUGCAGCUCAAGCCUCCUCGCUGGUUCUCCCUUUUUUGUGUGUGUGCGUUGUCGUUUGGUGGUGUGCGCGCUCGGAAACGCUACGGGUUUGCAUUUUGUUUGUCGGUAUUCUUGUAGUGGUGGAGGGGACCUUUCGCGUGACGCGGGCUCGUGCGUGCAGCUGCCCCCCCCCCGCCUCCCCCUCCCCGAAGCCGCGCCGCCAUGUCGCAUCCCUUUUUUGUUGUUUUUGUCUUUGCUCUUGUUCGGAUUCAGAAAGACUCGUUCUUUUUUUUUUCCUUCUACAUAUAUCCGUGUGUGUCUGGGUGUGUGCCCAUCAUUUCUCGUUGCCGUGCCCACGCACGCACACACACACACACACAUAUGUGCCGGCAAGCAUAUAUAUAUGCAUGCACAGCUGUAUGCGUGUGUGUGCGUGUUGAAGCGCACCUUCCUCUAUGAGACCAUGUAUAGUCCUUAUCUGUGUUACUGUCCUUUGUUGUUUGUUUUCCCAGGCUCGUUUUCUUCGUCUCGUCUCCACCCACCCUUUUCUGUUUCUUUCGGUUGCUGGGCAACGGGAGAGGGACGGUUUUGUGUUUCCAUCAGCUCCCUCGAUCCUGCGCUCACUUUGCAGGCACGCUUGUGUGCGCUUUACUGGUGCGUCAUGCUACACUUCUGGAAUAG